GUUAUGUUAUCUUAUGAGAAUGGUAUAGAGCAGAGAACAACCAGAACAUUUGACGGGCAACACGCAUGAUUACGACGCGACGUCACGCCAGCUGCUGAAAUUAUAUAUUGUGAAGUACUAUAGAAACUAUUACAAGAGGACUAAUCCAUGUAAUAAUGAUAUUGUAAUUGUAAUAAUAUAAAAUAUAAUAUAAUUAAUUACGGAUAAAUUAUCAAUGAUUAAUAAUGAUAAAAAUUUUUAUCCAGAAUUAAGGUACACCAACAAGGGACCAACUAGAAAAUGCAAUCAGAAUAGUAAUUAAGGAUUCAGUUAACGCUCCGAUUGUAGAACGCAACCUAAUUUAAACAUACAAAAGUGUAAGCCGGGGUACUUGGAACUUUCCUACUUCUCCUCAUCCGUCUUGGCUCUGUUGACUCUGGGUGCAAUUCGCGAAUGUGAAGGAGGGGAAAAAAAUGAGGGAUACUUGUCGGUUGAGUCUAAGAGGGAGUAAGAAAGAUUGGGUGAAAAAAGGGGCUGAGAAAUAGAAGAAAGAAGAAGGGGAGUCACGAAGGUGCAUGGAUGAAACGAGACGUCGUUGCUGGCUAACAAAAUGGAGGCAGUAGGGGCUGUUGGCUCUUCUAUCCUUUAUCUUCAGUACUAUGGUUGUCUGGGAGUACGAUGAGAGGCCAAGGGAAUUCCUGAGCAUCUAUCACGCCCUUUACUCUUCUUGGUCUGCCAUAAUCCUCGUUUUCUGGUCGCCUUGAUCGUCUCACCACCGGCAAUUGUUGUCCUAGUCAUGCUCGUCUUGGUACAUAAUGAUGAUAGUCGUAUGGCUGGUGGCUGGUAGCUGGUAGCUGGUAGCUGGUUGUCCAAGUCCAGAAAUAAGGUACAAGGAAGAGUAGUUGCAAUAACAGUAUGUACUGCCAGGAAGUACAUAGUUGGUGCUUGAGCUUGAUAUGGAGCUAGCUCGUUUUGCUCCAAAAGAACAUAAGGACGCUAAAAAUUCAACGCUGGUAUUCUUCUAGCUUGAAGAUCCGACAUCCUUGCUGGCAAAUCCUCCAGACAGUGUACUACUGUACUGUAUUCUCGGUAUUCAUGCAGUACUAUGUACUGCAACUACUACCACUACCACCACUACCACUGCACCGUAAACUACGGUAUUCCAGUGUUAUAAGUAGGUGUGUAGCGAGAGAAAGAGAAAGAGAAAAAGAGGGAGGUCGUAGAGUAGGUUGGAAGAGGCAAAAGAAAAUAGAAAGAAAAAUCCGGUAGCCAAUGGGAGGUGGAGUCGACGAGGAGCGGGAAGAUCCGACAACGCUGCAACCGAGUUUUUGUUUACCGCCCGGUUGUCAGAGUGAGAGGAACCGCCUGUGAGGAUCCGAAAGAGAGAGACCUCCGGAAUUAAAGAGAGUAAAUGCCUUGCAGCAUCAUCCUUCAACUCCUGUCCUGGAGCAUCAGAUACAUAUUCUACUGGACUUGACGGAUGAAAGAUAUCACCAAGAAAAUAUCACGAAAUAUCUACUACUUGUUCAGCUACUGUUCAAAAAUUGUACCAAUCUAUCUAAAGUUUCACCUACAAUGUUUACGCCCAUGCUAAAAUAUUGGUUGGUAUUUUUGUGUAAAUAUGAAAAUAUAAAUAUUUACGUAUCUAGAUUCACUGUUUUUAAUAGAGAUAAUAUUUUUUCUUUUAUGGUUUUUUUUUAUAAAUUUCCGCUCUGGGUUCUGGAUACUGAGAAAAAACUAUGUUCACAUAAAAGAAGAGUUAACAUCCCAGGAUCCACGCAAUCCCAAUUAGAGGACUGUAAAAAUAUUUGCUAAUAAUUAAAAAGGUAAAAAAUGUAUGGUUUUGUCGGAUGGUUCUAGUGCGGACCGAAUAGUUUGUGUAUGCUGUAAAAAUAUCUUUGAGCUAGGGGUAAACAUGCAGAACCGGCGGACUUUGUUAAAUAAAGUGUAAAUGAGUUACAUGAAAAAAAGUCAAUGUAAGUUAUUGAAUAUAAAAAUAGACGGUGGAUGAUAUUGUAAUAGAUAGACAGAAUACGAACAAAAAAAGAGAAAAAAUAAAGGAGAAAAACAAAGUUGAAAUCAAUGAGCCGAUAUAUUGUGUCUAAUCGUCAGUGGUGUAUACAAACACCUAAUAAAAUGUUUGUUGGGUCAUCGUUGGUAUAUUAUAUGAAUUAUCGCUUCAACACUUGAUUGUGUGUCAAACUGGAAAACUUUCGGCCAGGUGGAAUAAUUUUCAACCACAGAUGACUGGUUUAAAAAAAUACACCAUCAGUUUCUUUGUUGUGACUAUUGUUAAAUACAACACUAAACACCAGCUAUUGUUACUUUUACUUUAAUUUAUUAUUCGAUGGCCAAUGGGGCGCUAUUAGUCACCCUAUUAUUGUUUGUACACCCAAUAUCGUUCAACAAACUAUAAUAUAAUUUAUCAAUAAAGUCGCAUUGUUAUGUCAACUUUGGUUAAACAAAAAAAAAUCUGUAAAAGACUUGCAUUUGUGAAAAGACACUCUAUUAUGUGGGAAGAAAUACAUCAGGUGUAAGAAGAAUGCAUGAUUCGGCGGGAAAGACAUCAGAUGGAAUGAGAGUGUGACAAUUGCUCGUGUCGGAAAGUAGUCUCUUAUUCGGAGGUGACAAAGGUGAAAGAGGUGAAUGAGGAGGCAGGAGUAUCAAAAGUAUCACCGCGAGUAGCAGUUGUAGUAGAGUAUAAGUAAUAAGAAUAAGAAUAAGAAGAGGACUAGCAAGUGAACGAGCUCUGGUGGUUAAAGAAAAAGAAGUAUUAUAAAAGCGGAGAGAAUAAGAUGAGGAAGAAGAGUAGAGUAGGGCACUAGUGGGGCAAGCGACUACCGUUGGGUCCAUUCAGACCAGUUGCCCGGUAUACGACGCGAUUCUUACUUCUUGGAGUAAAAAAAUAAAAAAUACUGAAAAAUAACUAAAAAAAUACAAACAAGCAAAACAAGUUGAAGCGCCCCUGAAUUCCAUAACCGCACCCCAGUUCCCAGUUCUACUCCUUUUUCUUCUUCUUGCUCGUACCGUCUUUACUUGUUUCUCGUUUUCUUCCUUUUAUUAUCCUAUAUAGUACUUUCUCGCAUUGUUCCUCCUGCACCAAGAGAGUUCCUUCACUCUACUCGAACCUCCCAGACCUCCAGUAACAACAAACUUCUUCGGUGCCCAUGACCUCAUCUUUUGGCUUCCUCACUUUCAUUUCUUCUCAUCCUUUCUCCGCCCUCAAACCAUUGUCACUUGUAACUUGUACUAAUAAAAUUACUAGUUUUUUUAUUUUUUUUUGUUUUUUCUCUGUUUUACUCUUCUUUGCUCAAGCAUUUUUAUUUUACAAGGUGAAAUAAAAAAUAAAAACGUUCAAGUGAAUGAACAAAGGGAGCGAUGAAAAAUAAGCAAAAAUAUGAACUGAAAAAAUAAUCAUUGAGAUGGAAUUUUAGCAAGGUUAUUAAGAAAAAUUGUAGACGAGUGGAUGGAAAGGUGGUACAUUGAGUGUCCCCUUGAAGAGUUCUCAACUAGACGAUGGUGCAUUAGAACAUGACCGGGUGCGAUAGUUAGAGGUAGAGGGUACAUGUCUUCUUGGUACACCUUAAACUAUAUAACUACAUAUAUAUUAUGUAUAAGAAGGUAGUAGUUAGACGGCAAGGCAAGUGCCUACGAAAAGCAUCGAGAAAAAAUUUUGAGGGUAUGUGCGAUGGUGGAAAAAGCAAGUAGAGGAAAAAGAGCCAGGCGGGCGCCUGCAGAGAGGACAGGGGGCCAACUGCCGGAGGAUGAGAAUGAGGUGGUGGUUGUUGUUGUUGUAGUAGUAGUAUUAGUAUUAGUAUUAGUAGUAAAAGUAGUAGUAGUAUUCAGAGAAAUAUAAAGAGGAAGAGGAAGAGAAAAAAAGAGGUGGCUCGGAGGAAAGAGGCACCAUCAGGGGGUGGACGAAUGCAGGUAGGGGGCAUAAGGGGGGCAGCAGUUGCCCCAGUAAAAAUCGAUCCACCCCACUCUUUUAUACUUUUACUACCCCAGGAAUGGUGGAUUGGGGAACGCGAGGGAUUGAGAGGGUGGUUGAAGCUGCAGGGUUCGCUGCCGCGUCGGGACGCCUUGUUCGACGUCUACUCCACUGUGUAUGUACAUUUGUGCAAGUAAAACUUAUAUACAUCCAUAUAUGUAGUAUAUAGUACAUAGGGUUCUAUUUGGGGGAGAAUUCGCGAUAGUGGACGGGUGCAUCAGUGUGAGUUGAGUCGAGUUGGUGGAAGCACAGCCAGAGGUACUGAGUUGAGAGGUAUGUAGAGGGUAAGAGGCUGGGGGUGGAGACGGAGGUAGAGGUGGGUGGAAGAGGCGGUAGGGCAUGGGCAUGACUGGGGCUGGGGUUGGGGUUGUUGCUGCUGCUACUGCUACUGCUACUGCUACUGCUGAUGCCGAUGAGGGUAGGGUAAGACGAAAAAGACGGGCACGCCAACCGAAGCGGGGGUGGAAGAGCAGUACCCGGUUUACUUGGUAUGUCAUGCUCUGUGGCAACGUCGCCCCUACGAUUUCAUGGAUAUAUGUGUGUGAUAUAUAUGGAUAUAUGUAUAUGUAUAUGCCAUCACGGCGCUUCUGCCGUCCGCUGCACAACGAUGAAAAAUUACCCAGAAGCACCAGUGAGCGGUUUUUUCUCACCGGCCCGACGUCGUCUAGCGUGGAGUCCGCGUGCCUGACAGACAGCUGCACCCGAGCCCUGAUAUAUCGACCGGCCGGACCUACUCCUAACCAACCACCCUCGCUGCCACCAACUCUUUUUUCCAACCUCCUCUCCUCUUUUUUAUCAUCGCUUUCUCAUUCUAUUCUGGUACUCACGGAGAAGCUUUGCGCUCUCACUCCCUCAAGGUUCCGCCAAGCUCUUUCUUCGUUCUUCCUCAUCCGACUAUACUAGGCAGUCUUCUCUACUCGUGGGGAGUUGGGCAGAGGUUCUCUCUAUUAUACACCUGCACCUAUUUGGAGUCCAACACGCGGGGGUGCCAAGCAUGCCUCAAGCCGCCAGCCAUCCUAUUGCACUCAUGUCAACAUAUACUCUUGUGUGAAUAUCUGUGUGUUAAAAUUUAUAUGUGUGUAUGAGCACUCACACAAUCAGCCACGUAUUUUCCUUUUCCACCGAAAAAUACUCACGCCCUGACGACUCUGGCUGGAAAAAAAAAUUCAACGAGAAUUAAAAACACAAAAAAAUGCGAUGGAGAAAAUAGCGAGAAAAAUAUGUAUGGGUAUAUACAUAUAUGGAUAUAUAUAUAUAUUUUUUUUUUUAAAUUAAAAAAUAAAUAAAUUUAAAAAGCUUAAAAUAAGAAAAAAAGUCAAGGUACCGGUAAACGAGGGUAUAAAAUAAUUGAAGACGAAGAAGGGUUACUCUAAACUAGUACGUCAAAAAAUCAAGAGAGAAAUUUUAAUGAAUUUCCUCAGUUUAGUUUUUUAUUAUAUGUGUAAUUUUCUUUUUUUUUUUUCGUUUUUAGUCUUUAAAAAUAGGAAAAUGGAAGAGGAAAAACAUGUGUGCAUGUGUUUGGCAAGUUGAUCACGAAAAACUACUUUAAAAGUCUUUUUUCCUAAAUAAUUUUAUUAUGUACAACAUGCCUACAUUAUUUUUUUAUGCAGAGCAUUGAGAUUUUUAUACAUUCCAGUGGAAUGCGUUGACAUUAUUAAUAGUAAUAAUUACGAUAACUUAUUUUGUUGUUGUUGUUUCUUUUUUUUUAUCACUCCGAUUACAAUUUUUAAAAUCGAAAAUAAAUAAAUAAAAUAAACAUUUCUGCUUGGUACAUUUACACAAUUUACGGUAAAGGGACGCUUUUUUAUGUUUGUUAAAUAAAAUAAACUUCUCAAUGUUUGUUUAUUUUUUUCGAUUCAUUUUUUUUCUAAUUUUUAUUUACUUUUUUUAUUAAUCAUAGAUUAGUUGCACGUUACCAUUGUCAUUUAUCAACGUGCCGCGUUUAACUGAUAAAUGAGAAUAUACAACCUCUUUGGCAUUUGUACGACGUAAAAAAAAAGGAAGCUGGUAUUAUAAGGCAGUAAAAAGGAUAUCAUACGGCACAAAGAAUUUGAGUUUAACAAGUAAAGAAGAAAAAAAAGAGAAAUCUAAAAAAUAAAUAAUUACCAUGACAACUUAAGAAAAUGCAAGUUUGUUUUUGUUUAGUUUGAAGGUAAACAAAGUAAUAGUAACAGUAAAUAAUAAAUAUUAAAAUAGUACAAACGGGUAUAGAUAAACUCAGAAAAUAAAAAAAAAAAAUACAAAAAAAAAAAGUA